CUCAAAUCGAUGUAUGGAAUCUGACGCAGUGCCGCGGCCAUGCCUCGGAUGAACGCUCUGAGUCACUCAGCCCCCGAAAACAAUUUUCGUGGAAGAUGCCUGCUGAAGAUAGACCCGAUUUUAAUAAACAUCGUUGAUUUAGACGUUGGUACGGUAACAUAACGAUGAUAUAUUAGACACUUGUAUUGCCGCAAGCAAGCUACGGACUGAACUAGCACUGAGAUAGCUUGCCAGAGCUCUGUAUAUCCGUCUAGAUUGCAGAAUCAAGAGGCCGAGAGCUAAAUACUGAACCCCGUGCACUGCCAUGAAGAUUCUCCUCACAGCGAACUCUCACCAAAGGAACAGAACUUGAAGACCAACUGGCCCCGAGUCACCCACCGCCCAAGAAUAUACACAACUUUACCUCGAAAACAACCAAUUACGUUUGAAGACGCCUCAUCUCGCGUUACCUAAAAGACCUUUUAUCGCCAAA